rnacentral:rRNA from 1 species
UGGGGAAUAUUGCACAAUGGGGGAAACCCUGAUGCAGCGACGCCGCGUGAACGAAGAAGGUAUUCGUAUCGUAAAGUUCUGUCCUAUGGGAAGAUAAUGACAGUACCAUAGAAGAAAGCUCCGGCUAAAUACGUGCCAGCAGCCGCGGUAAUACGUAUGGAGCGAGCGUUGUCCGGAAUUAUUGGGCGUAAAGGGUACGCAGGCGGUUUAAUAAGUCGAAUGUUAAAGAUCGGGGCUCAACCCCGCAAAGCAUUGGAAUCUGAUAAACUUGAGUAGUGGAGAGGAAAGUGGAAUUCCUAGUGUAGUGGUGAAAUACGUAGAUAUUAGGAGGAAUACCAGUAGCGAAGGCGACUUUCUGGACACAAACUGACGCUGAGGUACGAAAGCGUGGGGAGCAAACAGG